rnacentral:rRNA from 1 species
UACGUAGGGCGCAAGCGUUAUCCGGAAUUAUUGGGCGUAAAGAGCUCGUAGGCGGUUUGUCGCGUCUGCCGUGAAAGUCCGGGGCUCAACUGCGGGUCUGCAGUCGAUACGGGCAGGCUAGAGUUCGGUAGGGGAGACUGGAAUUCCUGGUGUAGCGGUGAAAUGCGCAGAUAUCAGGAGGAACACCGAUGGCGAAGGCAGGUCUCUGGGCCGAUACUGACGCUGAGGAGCGAAAGCGUGGGGAGCGAACAGG